GACGAACCGUGCGAGCGUUGUUCGGAAUCACUGGGCUUAAAGGGCGCGUAGGCGGGCACGCAAGUCAGGGGUGAAAUCCUCCGGCUCAACCGGAGAACAGCUUUUGAUACUGCGUGCCUCGAGGGGGGUAGGGGCAUGUGGAACUUCCGGUGGAGCGGUGAAAUGCGUAGAUAUCGGAAGGAACAUCAGUGGCGAAAGCGACUUCCUGGACCAAUACUGACGCUCAUGUGCGAAAGCGUGGGGAGCAAACAGG
rnacentral:rRNA from 1 species